UGUGGCUGGGGGUGAAAGGCCAAUCAAACCGGGAGAUAGCUGGUUCUCCCCGAAAGCUAUUUAGGUAGCGCCUCGUGAAUUCAUCUUCGGGGGUAGAGCACUGUUUCGGCCAGGGGGUCAUCCCGACUUACCAACCCGAUGCAAACUGCGAAUACCGAAGAAUGUUAUCACGGGAGACACACGGCGGGUGCUAACGUCCGUCGUGAAGAGGGAAACAACCCAGACCGCCAGCUAAGGUCCCAAAGUCAUGGUUAAGUGGGAAACGAUGUGGGAAGGCACAGACAGCCAGGAUGUUGGCUUAGAAGCAGCCAUCAUUUAAAGAAAGCGUAAUAGCUCACUGGUCGAGUCGGCCUGCGCGGAAGAUGUAACGGGGCUAAACCAUGCACCGAAGCUGCGGCAGCGACACUCUGUGUUGUUGGGUAGGGGAGCGUUCUGUAAGCCGUUGAAGGUGUGCUGUGAGGCAUGCUGGAGGUAUCAGAAGUGCGAAUGCUGACAUAAGUAACGAUAAUGCGGGUGAAAAACCCGCACGCCGGAAGACCAAGGGUUCCUGUCCAACGUUAAUCGGGGCAGGGUGAGUCGACCCCUAAGGCGAGGCCGAAAGGCGUAGUCGAUGGGAAACAGGUUAAUAUUCCUGUACUUGGUGUUACUGCGAAGGGGGGACGGAGAAGGCUAUGUUAGCCGGGCGACGGUUGUCCCGGUUUAAGCAUGUAGGCGGAGCGUUUAGGUAAAUCCGGACGCUUAUUAACGCUGAGGUGUGAUGACGAGGCACUACGGUGCUGAAG
rnacentral:rRNA from 1 species